CGGGUGAAAAACCCGCACGCCGAAAGACCAAGGUUUCCUGCGCAACGCUAAUCGGCGCAGGGUGAGUCGGCCCCUAAGGCGAGGCUGAAAGGCGUAGCUGAUGGGAAACGGGUUAAUAUUCCCGUACUUCUUGUAACUGCGAUGGAGAGACGGAGAAGGCUAGGCCUACCGGGCGUUGGUUGUCCCGGGGAAAGACCGUAGGCUGGGAUCUUAGGCAAAUCCGGGAUCCUAAGGCUGAGAGUCGAGACCACCGGCCCUUUGCGGCUGGGAAGUGGUUGAUGCCCUGCUUCCAGGAAAAUCUUCUAAGCUUCAGGUUACAAGGAACCGUACCCCAAACCGACACAGGUGGUUGGGAUGAGUAUUCUAAGGCGCUUGAGAGAACUCGGGUGAAGGAACUAGGCAAAGUGGUACCGUAACUUCGGGAGAAGGUACGCCACUUGGUGUGAAGGGCUUGCCCCGUAAGCACCGAGUGGUCGCAGUGAAAAGGCCCCUGCAACUGUUUAUUAAAAACACAGCACUGUGCAAACGCGUAAGCGGACGUAUAGGGUGUGACGCCUGCCCGGUGCCGGAAGGUUAAUUGAUGGGGUUAGCGUAAGCGAAGCUCUUGAUCGAAGCCCCGGUAAACGGCGGCCGUAACGAUAACGGUCCUAAGGUAGCGAAAUUCCUUGUCGGGUAAGUUCCGACCUGCACGAAUGGUGUAACCAUGGCCAUGCUGUCUCCACCCGAGACUCAGUGAAAUCGAAAUCGCAGUGAAGAUGCUGUGUACCCGCACCUAGACGGAAAGACCCCGUGAACCUUUACUACAGCUUGGCACUGAACAUUGACCCUACAUGUGUAGGAUAGGUGGGAGGCUUUGAAGCGUUGUCG
rnacentral:rRNA from 14 species